rnacentral:lncRNA from 1 species
CAGGAAUCAGAUGGGCAUAGGGCAUCUGGUCCAUGAUCAUCCUUUGUUCGUGCUGAUCUCCGAUGAAAUAUCUGAAGAAGAAGGAGAACACCAUGUGAAGCUGGAGGCAGAGAUUGGAGUGACACGCCUACAAACUGAGGGGCACCAAAGACCACCAGCAACCACCAGAAGCUGGAAGAGGCAUGGAACAGAUGACCACAAGAGCCUCCAGAAGGAACCAACCAUGCUGACACCUUGAUUUUGGACUUCCAGCCUCUCAAAUUGUGAGCAAAUAAAUUUUUGUUGUUUUAAGCUACCCAGUUGUGGUACACUGUUAUGGUAGCCUGAUAUAGUUUGGCUGUGUCCCCAUGCAAAUCUCAUCUUGAAUUGUAGCUCCCAUAAUUCCCACAUGUUAUGAGAGGGAUCCGGUGGGAGGUAAUUGAAGCAUGGAGAAAGGUCUUUCCCAUGCUGUUCUCAUGAUAGCGAAUACAUCUCAUGAGAUCUGAUGGUUUUAUAAAUGGGAGUUUCCCUGUACAUGCUCCCUUUGCCUGCCAUCAUGUGAGACGUGACUUUGUUCCUCCUUCACCUUCUGCCAUGAUUGUGAGCCCUCCUCAGCCAUGUAGAACUGUGAU